UGGACCAAUGAUGACAAUUGGUGGCGCAUGAGUCGCACGUGAUGAACGUUAUGUGUCUGAAACUCUGAGGUCCAA